rnacentral:rRNA from 1 species
AUGAAAGCUUUAUUCUGGAAUAUUAGAGGUUUCGGUGCUAGGGGGCGCAGGGACCAGCUUAAAGAUUUAGUUCGUGCUGAAAAUAUUGAUUUCAUUGGCCUUGUCGAAACUCUCAAACCUUCCUUUUCCCCUAAUGAACUUUCGGCCGUGGCUAGGAUAGACAGACUCAAUUGGAAUGUUGUUGCUUCUGAUGGUCACUCAGGUGGUAUUUUGCUGGGCUCCAAAAAAGAUGUUUUCGAUUUUGUUGCCUUUGACCAUGGCAUUUUUUGGGCUAGCACGGUGGUUUCUCAUCGAUCCCUUAACUCCUUACUUGAAAUUAUGGUGGUUUAUGGCCCGGCUGAUCACUCUAUGUCUUACAAUUUCUUGGAUGAACUGCAUAAUAAGAUUGACUCUUGUUAG